rnacentral:rRNA from 1 species
AACGAACGCUGGCGGCAGGCUUAACACAUGCAAGUCGAGCGCCCCGCAAGGGGACCGGCGGCCGGGUGGGUAACGCGUGGGAACUUACCUUUUGGUUCGGAACAACUCCGGGAAACUGGGGCUAUUACCGGAUAAGCCCUAACGGGGAAAGAUUUAUCGCCGAAAGAUCGGCCCGCGUCUGAUUAGCUAGUUGGUGAGGUAACGGCUCACCAAGGCGACGAUCAGUAGCUGGUCUGAGAGGAUGAUCAGCCACACUGGGACUGAGACACGGCCCAGACUCCUACGGGAGGCAGCAGUGGGGAAUAUUGGACAAUGGGCGCAAGCCUGAUCCAGCCAUGCCGCGUGAGUGAUGAAGGCCUUAGGGUUGUAAAGCUCUUUUGUCCGGGAAGAUAAUGACUGUACCGGAAGAAUAAGCCCCGGCUAACUUCGUG